GACAGAGGGUGCAAACGUUGUUCGGAAUUACUGGGCGUAAAGCGCGUGUAGGCUGCUUGGAAAGUCGGGUGUGAAAGCCCUGAGCUCAACUCAGGAAGUGCACUCGAAACUUCCGAGCUCGAGUCCUGGAGAGGGUGGCGGAAUUCUCGGUGUAGAGGUGAAAUUCGUAGAUAUCGAGAGGAACACCUGUGGCGAAGGCGGCCACCUGGACAGUGACUGACGCUGAGACGCGAAAGCGUGGGGAGCGAACAGG
rnacentral:rRNA from 1 species